rnacentral:rRNA from 1 species
AAGUCGUAACAAGGUUUCCGUAGGUGAACCUGCGGAAGGAUCAUUAAUCUAUAACGUCGGGGGCCGGGCUUGGAUCGUGGACCCUUGCGGACCGCGUUCCUCCCCGCCCUGUCUGAAUAUACCCAUGAUUUUUGCGUACUAAUUGUUUCCUCGGUGGGCUUGCCCGCCAGUAGGACAUUAUAAAACCUGUUGUAAUUGCAGUCAGCGUCAGAAAAACCUAAUCGUUACAACUUUCAACAACGGAUCUCUUGGUUCUGGCAUCGAUGAAGAACGCAGCGAAAUGCGAUAAGUAGUGUGAAUUGCAGAAUUCAGUGAAUCAUCGAAUCUUUGAACGCACAUUGCGCCCCUUGGUAUUCCAUGGGGCAUGCCUGUUCGAGCGUCAUUUGUACCCUCAAGCUUUGCUUGGUGCUGGGUGUUUGUCCUGCUUUGUGCGUGGACUCGCCUUAAAUGAAUUGGCAGCCGGCAAUAUGGUGUUGGAGCGCAGCACAUUUUGCGCUUCGUCCCAUGGAUGUCGGCGUCCAUUAAGUCUAUAUUUUUGCUCUUGACCUCGGAUCAGGUAGGGAUACCCGCUGAACUUAAGCAUAUCAAUAAGCGGAGGAAAAGAAACCAACAGGGAUUGCCUUAGUAACGGCGAGUGAAGCGGCAACAGCUCAAAUUUGAAAUCUGGCUCUUUCAGAGUCCGAGUUGUAAUUUGCAGAGGGCGCUUUGGCGUUAGCAGCGGUCCAAGUUCCUUGGAACAGGUCGUCACAGAGGGUGAGAAUCCCGUACGUGGUCGCUAGUUUUCGCCGUGUAAAGCCCCUUCGACGAGUCGAGUUGUUUGGGAAUGCAGCUCUAAAUGGGAGGUAAAUUUCUUCUAAAGCUAAAUACUGGCCAGAGACCGAUAGCGCACAAGUAGAGUGAUCGAAAGAUGAAAAGCACUUUGGAAAGAGAGUCAAAUAGCACGUGAAAUUGUUGAAAGGGAAGCGCUUGCAGCCAGACUUGCCUGUAGUUGCUCAUCCGGGCUUUUGCCCGGUGCAUUCUUCUAUAGGCAGGCCAGCAUCAGUUUGGGCGGUUGGAUAAAGGUCUCUGUCAUGUACCUCCUUUCGGGGAGGCCUUAUAGGGGAGGCGACAUGCAACCAGCCUGGACUGAGGUCCGCGCAUCUGCUAGGAUGCUGGCGUAAUGGCUGUAAGCGGCC